AGAAUCAACGCUGGCGGCGUGCCUAACACAUGCAAGUCGAACGAGAAGGUGGAGCAAUCCAUGAGUAAAGUGGCGCACGGGUGAGUAACACGUGACUAACCUACCCUUGAGUGGGGGAUAACCUAGGGAAACCGGGGCUAAUACCGCAUAACAUCUACGGGUCAAAGGAGCAAUUCGCUUAAGGAGGGGGUCGCGGCCGAUUAGUUAGUUGGCGGGGUAAUGGCCCACCAAGACGAUGAUCGGUAUCCGGCCUGAGAGGGCGCACGGACACACUGGAACUGAAACACGGUCCAGACUCCUACGGGAGGCAGCAGUGGGGAAUUUGCGCAAUGGGGGAAACCCUGACGCAGCAACGCCGCGUGGAGGAUGAAGUCCCUUGGGACGUAAACUCCUUUCGAUCGGGACGAUUAUGACGGUACCGGAAGAAGAAGCCCCGGCUAACUUCGCGCCAGCAGCCGC
rnacentral:rRNA from 1 species